GUCCGCAACGAGCGCAACCCUUGUCCUUAGUUGCCAGCACGUAAUGGUGGGAACUCUAGGGAGACUGCCGGUGACAAACCGGAGGAAGGUGGGGACGACGUCAAGUCAUCAUGGCCCUUAUGGGCAGGGCUACACACGUGCUACAAUGGCGAAUACAGAGGGUUGCCAACCAGCAAUGGUGAGCUAAUCCCUUAAAGCUCGUCGUAGUCCGGAUCGGAGUCUGCAACUCGACUCCGUGAAGUCGGAAUCGCUAGUAAUCGCGAAUCAGAAUGUCGCGGUGAAUACGUUCCCGGGUCUUGUACACACCGCCCGUCACACCAU
rnacentral:rRNA from 1 species